GUCGGUGUGAAACCGGCGCUGUCCCGCAACUGUGAUGCCCCCGAAAGGGGGACGAGCCAGG
rnacentral:ncRNA from 20 species